CGAAAGCCUGACGGAGCAACGCCGCGUGUGGGAAGAAGGCCUUUGGGCUGUCAACCACUUUUCUCAGGGAAGAAGUUCUGACGGUACCUGAGGAAUCAGCCUCGGCUAACUCCGUGCCAGCAGCCGCGGUAAUACGGAGGAGGCAAGCGUUAUUCGAAAUUAUUGGGCGUAAAGCGUCCGCAGGGGGUCUUCCAAGUCUGCUGUCAAAGCCCGGGGCUCAACCCCGACGCGGCAGUGGAAACUGGUGAGCUAGAGGGCGACAGGGGUAGAGGGAAUUCCCAGUGUAGCGGUGAAAUGCGUAGAGAUUGGGAAGAACACCGGUGGCGAAAGCGCUCUACUGGGUCGCGCCUGACCCUCAGGGACGAAAGCUAAGGGAGCG
rnacentral:rRNA from 1 species